rnacentral:rRNA from 1 species
CGUGCAUGAGCGUCAGUGUUAUCCCAGGAGGCUGCCUUCGCCAUCGGUGUUCCUCCGCAUAUCUACGCAUUUCACUGCUACACGCGGAAUUCCACCUCCCUCUGACACACUCUAGCUCGGUAGUUAAAAAUGCAGUUCCAAAGUUAAGCUCUGGGAUUUCACAUCUUUCUUUCCGAACCGCCUGCGCACGCUUUACGCCCAGUAAUUCCGAUUAACGCUUGCACCCUACGUAUUACCGCGGCUGCUGGCACGUAGUUAGCCGGUGCUUAUUCUGCAGGUACCGUCAGUUUCACGGGGUAUUARCCCAUGACGUUUCUUUCCUGCCAAAAGUGCUUUACAACCCGAAGGCCUUCAUCGCACACGCGGGAUGGCUGGAUCAGGGUUUCCCCCAUUGUCCAAAAUUCCCCACUGCUGCCUCCCGUAGGAGUCUGGGCCGUGUCUCAGUCCCAGUGUGGCUGGUCGUCCUCUCAAACCAGCUACGGAUCGUCGCCUUGGUGAGCCGUUACCCCACCAACUAGCUAAUCCGAUAUCGGCCGCUCUAAUAGUGCAAGGUCUUGCGAUCCCCUGCUUUCCCCCGUAGGGCGUAUGCGGUAUUAGCUACGCUUUCGCGUAGUUAUCCCCCGCUACUAGGCACGUUCCGAUACAUUACUCACCCGUUCGCCACUCGCCACCAGACCGAAGUCCGUGCUGCCGUUCGACUUGCAUGUGUAAGGCAUCCCGCUAGCGUUCAAU